CAACAGGGAUUCCCCUAGUAACGGCGAGUGAAGCGGGAACAGCUCAAAUUUGAAAUCUGGCCCUUGGGUCCGAGUUGUAAUUUGUAGAGGAUGCUUUUGGUGCGGUGCCUUCCGAGUUCCCUGGAACGGGACGCCUUAGAGGGUGAGAGCCCCGUACGGUUGGACGCCUAGCCUCUGUAAAGCUCCUUCGACGAGUCGAGUAGUUUGGGAAUGCUGCUCUAAAUGGGAGGUAUAUUUCUUCUAAAGCUAAAUACUGGCCAGAGACCGAUAGCGCACAAGUAGAGUGAUCGAAAGAUGAAAAGCACUUUGAAAAGAGGGUUAAAUAGCACGUGAAAUUGUUGAAAGGGAAGCGUUUAUCACCAGACUUUUUCUGGGGGGAUCAUCCGGUGUUCUCACCGGUGCACUUCCCCCAGUUGAGGCCAGCAUCGGUUUUCGGAGGGGGAUAAAAGCUUCGGGAAUGUGACUCCCUCGGGAGUGUUAUAGCCCGUUGCAUAAUACCCUUCUGGGGACCGAGGUUCGCGCAUCUGCAAGGAUGCUGGCAUAAUGGUGAUCAACGACCCGUCUUGAAACACGGACCAAGGAGUCGAACAUUUAUGCGAGUGUUUGGGUGUCAAACCCUCACGCGUAAUGAAAGUGAACGGAGGUGAGAGCCCUUACGGGUGCAUCAUCGACCGAUCCUGAUGUCUUCGGAUGGAUUUGAGUAAGAGCAUAACUGUUCGGACCCGAAAGAUGGUGAACUAUGCGUGGAUAGGGUGAAGCCAGGAGAAAUCCUGGUGGAGGCUCGCAGCGGUUCUGACGUGCAAAUCGAUCGUCAAAUCUGCGCAUGGGGGCGAAAGACUAAUCGAACCAUCU
rnacentral:rRNA from 1 species